CCAAUAUCUCCCCCAGGUGCCUGCAGUUGCCUCUCUGCAUGAUGAGCUGGCCAGGAGAAUGGAGAAGUUCUGCUGGCUUGGGAGGCUGGGAUGGCAGCAGGAGAGCUCCAUGGACAUGUAGGAGAGCUGCAGCAAAACGGUGGUGAUCAAAACUACAGUGACAGAGUAGAGUCUUACUGCCAGGUAAAUGUGGUGGGACCACCCAUGGGGCUGUGUGAAAAGAGCUCAUGCUAUGCUGUACCUGAAUUAAAACCCGAGUUAGUGAAGGCAGAGUGACUGAAGUCAUUCUGCACUUCCCAAGGUGGAUAUGGGUUUGAGGGUGUGGGGGGCAUGUGUUAUGUUGAUUUUUUAUGUAAAAGAGAAGAAAUUAAAAUAUUUAAUUAAAAAAAAAAAAAA